rnacentral:ncRNA from 2 species
CCUCCAUCCCCGGGGGACCGCGACGAAGCGGUUGAGAGGCGGCUGCCCAGUUCGAUCUGGACCACCGCGACCCGCUGAACCUGAUCCGGCUGACACCGGCGUAGGGAGGGAGUGGGCGCGCCCG